rnacentral:tRNA from 1 species
GCUACGAUCGCAUAACCUGGUAGUGCGCCGGUCUCGAAAAUCGGUUUCCGAAAGGAUUUCCCGGUUCAAAUCCGGGUCGUAGCG